UACAGAGGGUGCAAGCGUUGUUCGGAAUUAUUGGGCGUAAAGGGCGCGUAGGCGGUGCGGUAAGUCUGAUGUGAAAUCUCCGGGCUCAACUCGGAGUCUGCAUCAGAAACUGCCGUGCUUUGAGUGUGGGAGAGGUGAGUGGAAUUCCCGGUGUAGCGGUGAAAUGCGUAGAUAUCAGGAGGAACACCUGUGGCGAAAGCGGCUCACUGGACCAUAACUGACGCUGAUGCACGAAAGCUAGGGGAGCAAACAGG
rnacentral:rRNA from 1 species